rnacentral:rRNA from 1 species
UACGAAGGGGGCUAGCGUUGCUCGGAAUCACUGGGCGUAAAGGGUGCGUAGGCGGGUCUUUAAGUCAGACGUGAAAUCCCUCGGCUUAACCGGGGAACUGCGUCUGAUACUGGAUGGCUUGAGUUUGGGAGAGGGAUGCGGAAUUCCAGGUGUAGCGGUGAAAUGCGUAGAUAUCUGGAGGAACACCGGUGGCGAAGGCGGCAUCCUGGACCAACACUGACGCUGAGGAGCGAAAGCCAGGGGAGCAAACGGG